CUGGCCGUAAACGAUGAAUGCUAGGUGUGGGCAUCGAGAGGUGUCCGUGCCGGAGCUAACGCGAUAAGCAUUCCGCCUGGGGAGUACGAUCGCAAGAUUGAAACUCAAAGGAAUUGACGG
rnacentral:rRNA from 1 species